rfam:Triticum urartu cultivar G1812 contig1136115, whole genome shotgun sequence.
AGUGGAGGAUUCCAAAGGGAUCGCAUUGAUCCAUCUCUCCGUAACCGGCGCUCAAGAUCGAUGGAUCAGUGCAAUCCCUCUGGAAUUCUCCGC